AGUCGAGGGGCAGCAUAUGAGUAGCAAUACUUAUGAUGGCGACCGGCGCACGGGUGCGUAACGCGUAUGCAACCUACCUUUUACAGGGGCAUAACACUGAGAAAUCGGUACUAAUUCCCCAUAAUAUCUGAGACGGCAUCGUUUCGGGUUGAAAACUCCGGUGGUAAAAGAUGGGCAUGCGUUGUAUUAGCUGGUUGGUGAGGUAACGGCUCACCAAGGCGACGAUACAUAGGGGGACUGAGAGGUUAACCCCCCACAUUGGUACUGAGACACGGACCGAACUCCUACGGGAGGCAGCAGUGAGGAAUAUUGGUCAAUGGACGCAAGUCUGAACCAGCCAUGCCGCGUGCAGGAAGACGGCUCUAUGAGUUGUAAACUGCUUUUGUACGAGGGUAAAUGCAGGUACGUGUAUCUGUUUGAAGGUAUCGUACGAAUAAGGAUCGGCUAACUCCGUGCCAGCAGCCGCGGUAAUACGGAGGAUCCAAGCGUUAUCCGGAUUUAUUGGGUUUAAAGGGUGCGUAGGCUGUGAGGUAAGUCAGCGGUGAAAUGCCCCCGCUCAACGGGGUGAAGUGCCAUUGAUACUGCCUUGCUGGAAUGCGGAUGCCGUGGGAGGAAUGUGUGGUGUAGCGGUGAAAUGCAUAGAUAUCACACAGAACACCGAUUGCGAAGGCAUCUCACGAAUCCGCGAUUGACGCUGAUGCACGAAAGCGUGGGUAUCAAACAGGAUUAGAUACCCUGGUAGUCCACGCUGUAAACGAUGAUGACUAACCGUCGGCGAUACACAGUCGGUGGCCAAGCGA
rnacentral:rRNA from 1 species